rnacentral:tRNA from 1 species
UCCGUUGUCGUCCAGAGGUUAGGAUAUCUGGCUUUCACCCAGGAGACCCGGGUUCGAUUCCCGACAAUGGAA